rnacentral:rRNA from 1 species
UACGUAGGGUCCGAGCGUUGUCCGGAAUUACUGGGCGUAAAGAGCUCGUAGGUGGUUUGUCGCGUUGUUCGUGAAAACUCACAGCUCAACUGUGGGCGUGCGGGCGAUACGGGCAGACUAGAGUACUGCAGGGGAGACUGGAAUUCCUGGUGUAGCGGUGGAAUGCGCAGAUAUCAGGAGGAACACCGGUGGCGAAGGCGGGUCUCUGGGCAGUAACUGACGCUGAGGAGCGAAAGCGUGGGGAGCAAACGGG